rnacentral:rRNA from 1 species
AGCUAACGCUGGCGGCGUGCUUAACACAUGCAAGUCGAACGAGAGACACGUCCUUCGGGAUGUGGAGUAAAGUGGCGCACGGGUGAGUAACACGUGGGUAACCUGCCCCCGAGACUGGGAUAACUGGCCGAAAGGCCCGCUAAUACCGGAUAAGACCACAUGGGCCUCGGCCCAAGUGGCCAAAGUCGGCCUCUCGACGAAGCCGAUACGCGAGGAUGGGCCCGCGGACCAUUAGCCUGUUGGCAGGGUAACGGCCUACCAAGGCUAAGAUGGUUAGCUGGUCUGAGAGGAUGAUCAGCCACACUGGAACUGAGACACGGUCCAGACUCCUACGGGAGGCAGCAGUGAGGAAUAUUGCGCAAUGGGGGAAACCCUGACGCAGCGACGCCGCGUGGGUGAAGAAGGCCUUCGGGUUGUAAAGCCCUGUCAGGUGGGAAGAAGCCUCUGGAGGUGAAUAGCCUUCGGAAUUGACGGUACCACCAAAGGAAGCACCGGCUAACUCCGUGCCAGCCGCCGCGGUAAUAC